rnacentral:rRNA from 1 species
AUGGGACACUCGAACGUCUGGAACUCGCACCCCAAGAACUACGGCCCCGGAUCCAGGGUUUGCCGUGUCUGCGGCAACUCGCAUGGCCUGAUCCGCAAGUACGGGCUGAUGUGCUGCAGGCAGUGCUUCCGCAGCAACGCCAAGGACAUCGGCUUCAUCAAGUACCGUUAA